rnacentral:rRNA from 1 species
AUUGAACGCUGGCGGCAUGCUUUACACAUGCAAGUCGAACGGCAGCGCGGGCUUCGGCCUGGCGGCGAGUGGCGAACGGGUGAGUAAUGCAUCGGAACGUGCCCAGUAGUGGGGGAUAGCCCGGCGAAAGCCGGAUUAAUACCGCAUACGACCUGCGGGUGAAAGCGGGGGACCGAAAGGCCUCGCGCUAUUGGAGCGGCCGAUGUCGGAUUAGCUAGUUGGUGGGGUAAAGGCUUACCAAGGCGACGAUCCGUAGCUGGUCUGAGAGGACGACCAGCCACAUUAGAAGUGAACCGCGGCCAAGACGCCUGCGGGAGGGAGCAGAGGGGAAUUGUAGACAGUGGUGGCGACCCUGAUCCAGCCAUGCCGCGUGCGGGAAGAAGGCCUUCGGGUUGUAAACCACUUUUGUUAGGGAAGAAAUCCUCUGGGCUAAUACCCCGGGGGGAUGACGGUACCGGAAGAAUAAGCACCGGCUAACUACGUG